CACAUAGGCAGUCACACACACAGACAGACACACAGUAACACACACAUAGACAGUUAUACACACACAGGCAGGCAGUCACACAGAUAGAAAGUCACACACACAGGCAGGCAGUCACACACAGACAGAUAGUUACAGACAGACACACACAGGCAGGCAGUCACACAUACAGGCAGUCACACACACAGGCAGUCACACACACAGGCAGUCACACACACAGACAGACAGUCACACACACAGACAGUCACACAGACAGACAGUCUCACACACGGGCAGUCACACAGACAGACAGUCACACACACAGACAGUCACACACAGGCAGGCAGUCACACACAGACAGUCACACACACACACACAGA